ensembl:misc_RNA Metazoa_SRP Metazoan signal recognition particle RNA
GCCAGGCAUGGUAGCGCAUGCCUGUAGUCCCAGUUACUCAGGAGGCUGAGGCAGAAGAAUUGCUUGAACCCAGGAGGCAGAGGUUGCAGUGAGCCGAGAUCACGCCACUGCACUUCAGCCUGGGCAAUAGAGUGAGACUCUGUCUCAA